rnacentral:rRNA from 1 species
GCUCAACUGAGGAAUUGCUUUGGAAACUGGAUGACUUGAGUGCAGUAGAGGAAAGUGGAACUCCAUGUGCAGCGGUGAAAUGCGUAGAUAUAUGGAAGAACACCAGUGGCGGAGGCGGCUUUCUGGACUGUAACUGACGUUGAGGCUCGAAAGUGUGGGUAGCAAACAGGAUUAGAUACCCUGGUAGUCCACACCGUAAACGAUGAGUGCUAGGUGUUUGAGGGUUUCCGCCCUUAAGUGCCGCAGCUAACGCAUUAAGCACUCCGCCUGGGGAGUACGACCGCAAGGUUGAAACUCAAAGGAAUUGACGGGGACCCGCACAAGCGGUGGAGCACGUGGUUUAAUUCGAAGCAACGCGAAGAACCUUACCAGGUCUUGACAUCCCUUGACAACUCCAGAGAUGGAGCGUUCCCUUCGGGGACAAGGUGACAGGUGGUGCAUGGUUGUCGUCAGCUCGUGUCGUGAGAUGUUGGGUUAAGUCCCGCAACGAGCGCAACCCUUAUUACUAGUUGCCAGCAUUCAGUUGGGCACUCUAGUGAGACUGCCGGUGACAAACCGGAGGAAGGUGGGGAUGACGUCAAAUCAUCAUGCCCCUUAUGACCUGGGCUACACACGUGCUACAAUGGCGUAUACAACG